UCUUUGAAUUCUUUGGUCUUUAAGGCUUUCAGAAAUGGAGAUGGAAGCGUCAAAGUGGAUUCCUGAGUUUUAUACUCAGCUACAGGACAUGUUGAAAGAAUGGUUACUUGCAAACCUUCCUUUCCUAUAUGGCCAAAAACCUUUUCAAGCCACUGGAACUGCUGAUCUUCAGCAACGUAGCAACUACACUGGCACAACAAAACUGUUGGAUCUGAUAUUAAUUGAUAGAACAAGCAGAAAGAAUCUGUUGGGAGGACACUUGUUGCAUUGGUUGUUUGGCACCAUUCAUUCCACAGUUUCACAGCUCCAACUAUUUUCCAACAUACGGAAUCCAGAAUAAAAGCGGACAGGAAAGCGACAGCGUUGUGUCCUACGGCGACGAUGAACCUGGAGCACCGCAGGGGUUCCUCGGCAGGGCUCCCCGCGGCUCCCGGCGUCCAGAGCGCGGUGAUCUCCCUUUUCUCCUGCAGUUCCCUGCGGAUCUCCCGAUCCUCGGCCGUCUCCUCGGUCUCCUCCUCAUCGUCCACGCCGGCCCGGGACGGAGCGACCACAACCUCUCCGAAGAACGUCGCCAUCGCCCCGCCGCCGCCGCCGCCUCCCGCCUUCCUCU
rnacentral:lncRNA from 1 species